rnacentral:rRNA from 1 species
UACGUAGGGUGCAAGCGUUAAUCGGAAUUACUGGGCGUAAAGCGCACGUAGGCGGCUCGGUAAGUCGGGUGUGAAACCCCCCAGGCUCAACCUGGGGACGCCACCCGAUACUGCUGUGGCUAGAGUCCAGUAGGGGAGUGUGGAAUUCCCGGUGUAGCGGUGAAAUGCGCAGAUAUCAGGAGGAACACCGGUGGCGAAGGCGGGGUCUCUGGGCCGAUACUGACGCUGAGGAGCGAAAGCGUGGGGAGCGAACAGG